UUUAAAUAUAUAAAAAUGUUUCUAAAGUCUAUGUUAGUAAUUUUUAAAGAUGGAGAUAUCAUGAUUGAUUCAGAUAUAAUGGAGUUUUUAGGAGAAGAUACAAAAAUCGAGAGAAACCUCGAGUACUUAUUAAACCUUAUAUUAAAUCAAAUUACAGGCUUGGACUUACUAGACAUGCAUAAAACUGAACAAAUAAAAAUUAAUCGUAUAAUGCAUCGUCUUUCACACU